rnacentral:misc_RNA from 1 species
AGAAUUAUUAAGAUGGAUACUACAAAGACACAGAAUACUGUGCUAGCUUUUACAGAUGAUACCGUUCUUCCUGUAAGUAUGGUGAUAAAUGCAGUUAGGGAACUUGCUAAUGAAAGAGCCGAGCAGUGUGAUCCUCAAGUUAUCACUCAAGCAUCAUCUCUAAGUAAGCUGCCAGUGGAUUCUUCAUCUGUGGAUAUAGUCAUUUCCAUAAGUAGGUCACUCCAAUUUCCCAGUGACCUGUUGUUAGGCGAAAUUUCAAGAGUGUUGAAGCCUGGUGGGACUGUCCUGAUUUACAAGAGUCUUCAAUCUGUUGCAGAGGAAACAGACAAGGCAAUACUUACUCUUGAGCGCAAGUUGCUGUUAGCGGGGUUCUUAGAAGCACAGGGUCUCCAAUUGAAAGCUGGACUAUCUGGAGUCAUUCAGUCUUUUGGGGUUAAGGCCAAGAAGCCUUCUUGGAAGAUUGGGUCAUCCUUUACCAUUAAGAAGCCCAUAACAAGUUCAGUUAAGGUUCCGAUUGAUGAUGAUUUGAUUGAUGAAGAUAGCCUCUUGACUGAAGAGGAUUUGAAAAAACCUCAAUUACCACCUGUUGGUGACUGCGAAGUAGGAAGUACAAGGAAAGCGUGCAAAAACUGCACAUGUGGGAGAGCUGAGACAGAGGAGAAAGUAAAGUUGGGACUGACAAUGGAUCAGCUGAGCAAUCCUCAAUCAGCAUGUGGCAAUUGUGGUCUAGGGGAUGCUUUUCGCUGCAGCACAUGCCCUUACAAAGGUCUCCAGCCAUUCAAACUUGGCGAGAAGGUAUCACUGUCUGGAAACUUCCUUGCUGCAGAUUUUUGAAGGCGAAGAGAUUGGAGUUGGUUUACAACUUGGCCAAAGGAUGUU